GUGAGGGGGGGUGACUGGUGACAGUGAGGGGGGGUGACUGGUGACAGUGAGGGGGGGGUGACAGUGAGGGAGGGGGUGACUAGUGACAGAGGGAGGGAGAUGGUGACUGUCACUAGUCACCCCAUCCCUCCCUCUGUCACUAGUCACUCCCUCCCUAACUCUGUCACUAGUCAUCCCCUCCCUCACUCUGUCACCAGUCACCCCAUACCUCCCUCUGUCACUGUGUCACCCCAUCCCUCCCUCUGUCACUAGUCACUCCCUCCCUCAC